rnacentral:tRNA from 1 species
GUUAAUGUAGCUUAAACUUAAAGCAAGGUACUGAAAAUACCUAGACGGGUUUCAACCCCAUAAACA